AAGUCGUAACAAGGUCUCAGUUGGUGAACCAGCGGAGGGAUCAUUACCGAGUUUUCAACUCCCAAACCCCAUGUGAACUUAUACCAUUUACAACCGUUGCUUCGGCGGGUUCUCGCCCCGGGCUUUACACCCCGGAACCAGGCGGCCCGCCGGGGGACCCAAACUCUAGAUUUUUAUUUUAGCAUGUCUGAGUGGAAUCAUUACAAAAUGAAUCAAAACUUUCAACAACGGAUCUCUUGGUUCUG
rnacentral:misc_RNA from 1 species